GAUUUCUGGUUGGGCGCAUUUGGCCCGCCUCGGUUACGGGGUUGAGUGCCGUUUUGCGCCCGCCAUCCUUCUAGAGUACGACUCUCCCUUUACUGGGUUGGGCCGGAAUCUAGAUCAUUUACUUUGAAAAAAUUAGAGUGUUUAAAGCAGGCUUACGCUGUGAAUACAUUAGCAUGGAAUAAUAAUUUAGGACUUUGGUCUUAUUUUGUUGGUUUCUAGGACUAAAGUAAUGAUUGAUAGGGAUAGUUGGGGGUGCUAGUAUUCAGCGGCCAGAGGUGAAAUUCUUGGAUUCGCUGAAGACUAACUUAUGCGAAAGCAUU
rnacentral:rRNA from 1 species